UACAGAGGGGGCCAGCGUUAUUCGGAAUUAUUGGGUGUAAAGGGCGCGUAGGCGGCCAUGCGUGUCUUCCGUGAAAUCCCUCGGCUUAACCGAGGACGUGCGGAAGAAACUGCAAGGCUCGAGUCCGGAAGAGGGGGGCGGAAUUCCCAGUGUAGCGGUGAAAUGCGUAGAUAUUGGGAGGAACACCAGUGGCGAAGGCGGUCCCCUGGGCCGGAACUGACGCUGAGGCGCGAAAGCGUGGGUAGCAAACGGG
rnacentral:rRNA from 1 species